rnacentral:lncRNA from 12 species
UCCUGAUGUGCAAUCCAUCCUCCUCUCCUGUGCACUGCUGGGGAGCUGUGUCAGAGAAGAAGACUCAUGCACUGCCAAAACCUGUGUGAGGAUGGAGAAAUUGUGACUGGAAAGCAGCAGGCCAGAGAGAAGGACAUCUAUGACAUGGAUAUUGAGCAAAAUGAAAAUCAGGAGCUGUCUGCUGCCCCAUGCAUCCCUUUUAGAACACUGCAAGCAUUUUCAAAUUGAUAGAAAGCAUUCCUGUAGAGACAGUUACAGGUAUUUGCUUGCAGACCAGUCACCCACUGCCAUGAACAUUGCAGUGGGAGGCCUCAUUUGGGAGCCAAGAGUCAUCUUCUGCCUGCUUGUUCCAGCA